rnacentral:rRNA from 1 species
UAGGGAAUCUUCCACAAUGGGCGAAAGCCUGAUGGAGCAACGCCGCGUGUGUGAUGAAGGGUUUCGGCUCGUAAAACACUGUUGUAAGAGAAGAAUGACAUUGAGAGUAACUGUUCAAUGUGUGACGGUAUCUUACCAGAAAGGAACGGCUAAAUACGUGCC